CUUGCAAGCUGGUGGAUUCCCUGAGCCCGAGAUCAUUCACUAUAUCCUAAGGAGUUCCAUUACGGUAAAAAGAAAGCAUUUCCAUUCCAGGACCAGGAUUUCCCAAUGAUUGGCGUCAUGGGAGGCGCGAUUCCGAUGGGAACUUUUUGUUAUGGAAGAUCAUGUACUGUAUGAAUUUCUAGAGCUUGCACGAGAUGAAAAUGAAGAACAUGGGAGGCUAUUUUUAGAGCGAUUUAAUAUUUUUUUUCACUAAACAAUGUAUUAAUUUUUUUAAAUCUUCUUAUUUUAAGUAAUUUGAUGUAACUGAAACUUACAGUCUCUUUUAUAGCCGAAUGCACUUUUAUAUAAGAUAACUUAUUUUUAUCUUUCAAAUAUGUGAACACAUGGUUCAAACAAAGUAUAGCUUGCAGUCAUUCAAAAAUUGUAACAAGUUAACAAUUUGGGUUUGCAAAAGCCUAAGUACAAUUUGGGUCACUCAAAUAUGUGAUACAUUGAUUAAAAGGCUUUUGCAAACCCAAAAUUGUAACAAGUUAACAAUUUGUUGACCACAAAUCACAAUUGCCAAGUGAUGGCCUAUACGACAACAUACGUCAUUACGUUGGACAAACACCUAGAGGUAGCUGAUUGUGUUACUGUUAUUUUUUGCUUAUCAUUACCAAAACUAAAAAAACAAAAUUUCUCAUUGUUUUUCUUGGUUGUACACGAAUCCAAUGUAUCUUUAUUUUGCUUAGAAAAAUAUCGUGUAUUAAGAACCUUAGAAUAAUUUUUAUAUGUACACGAAUCAGUUGAGAAAUUCAUGAUUGGGAGCUACAUUUUUCAGUUUAAUGUAAUUUAAUAUCUACAUAAGUAA